UAAUACGUAGGGUGCAAGCGUUAAUCGGAAUUACUGGGCGUAAAGGGUGCGCAGGCGGUUCUGUAAGUCAGAUGUGAAAUCCCCGGGCUUAACCUGGGAACUGCGUUUGAAACUGCAGAGCUAGAGUGCGGCAGAGGGAGGUGGAAUUCCAUGCGUAGCAGUGAAAUGCGUAGAGAUAUGGAAGGACAUCGAUGGCGAAGGCAACCUCCUGGGCUAGCACUGACGCUCAUGCACGAAAGCGUGGGGAGCAAACAGGAUUAGAUACCCUGGUAGUCCACGCCCUAAACUAUGUCAACUAGUUGUCGGGUCUUAUUAGACUUGGUAACGUAGCUAACGCGUGAAGUUGACCGCCUGGGGAGUACGGUCGCAAGAUUAAAACUCAAAGGAAUUGACGGGGACCCGCACAAGCGGUGGAUUAUGUGGAUUAAUUCGAUGCAACGCGAAAAACCUUACCUACCCUUGACAUGUCAGAAAAUUUUCAGAGAUGAAUUUGUGCCCGAAAGGGAAUCU
rnacentral:rRNA from 1 species